CAAGUCUACAUUUUUGGACUUUUGCUAUUCAAUGUCUUCAUCAGUGACUUAGACGAGGGCAAGGAGAGCACCCCAUCCAAGUUCUCAGAUUAUACCAAGUUAUGGGGUGAUGUUAACACACCAGAGGGUAGGGAAUGGAUCCAGGUGGAUCUGGACAAGUUGGGAAAAUG